GACGAACGCUGGCGGCGUGCUUAACACAUGCAAGUCGAACGGAAAGGCCCUGCUUUUGUGGGGUGCUCGAGUGGCGAACGGGUGAGUAACACGUGAGUAACCUGCCCUUGAAUUUGGGAUAACUUCAGGAAAAUGGGGCUCAUACCCGAUAGGAGCUCCUGCUGCAUGUUGGGGAUUGGAGAGUUUCGGCUGUGGGGGAUGGACUCGCGGCUUAUCAGCUUGUUGGUGGGGUAGUGGCUUACCAAGGCUUUGACGGGUAGCCGGCCUGAGAGGGUUACCGGCGACAUUGGGACUGAGAUACGGCCCAGACUCCUACGGGAGGCAGCAGUGGGGAGUAUUGCACAAUGGGCGGAAGCCUGAGGCAGCGACGCCGGGUGCGGGAUGACGGCCUUCGGGGUGUAAACCGCUUUCGCCUUUGACGAAGCGGGAGUGACGGUAAUGGGUAAAGAAGCACCGGCUAACUACGUG
rnacentral:rRNA from 1 species